rnacentral:siRNA from 1 species
GCCACGGUUAAAGAUGAUUCAGG